rnacentral:rRNA from 1 species
AUGCAGUCGAGCGGACCAAAGGGAGCUUGCUCCUGGAGGUUAGCGGCGAACGGGUGAGUAACACGUGGGCAACCUGCCUGUAAGACUGGGAUAACAUCGAGAAAUCGGUGCUAAUACCGGAUAAUAAAAAGAACUGCAUGGUUCUUUUUUGAAAGAUGGUUUCGGCUAUCACUUACAGAUGGGCCCGCGGCGCAUUAGCUAGUUGGUGGGGUAACGGCUCACCAAGGCGACGAUGCGUAGCCGACCUGAGAGGGUGAUCGGCCACACUGGGACUGAGACACGGCCCAGACUCCUACGGGAGGCAGCAGUAGGGAAUCUUCCGCAAUGGACGAAAGUCUGACGGAGCAACGCCGCGUGAGUGAUGAAGGUUUUCGGAUCGUAAAACUCUGUUGUUAGGGAAGAACAAGUGCCGUUCGAAAGGGCGGCACCUUGACGGUACCUAACGAGAAAGCCACGGCUAACUACGUGCCAGCAGCCGCGGUAAUACGUAGGUGGCAAGCGUUGUCCGGAAUUAUUGGGCGUAAAGCGCGCGCAGGCGGUCUCUUAAGUCUGAUGUGAAAGCCCCCGGCUCAACCGGGGAGGGUCAUUGGAAACUGGGAGACUUGAGUACAGAAGAGGAGAGUGGAAUUCCACGUGUAGCGGUGAAAUGCGUAGAGAUGUGGAGGAACACCAGUGGCGAAGGCGACUCUCUGGUCUGUAACUGACGCUGANGCGCGAAAGCGUGGGGAGCAAACAGGAUUAGAUACCCUGGUAGUCCACGCCGUAAACGAUGAGUGCUAGGUGUUAGGGGUUUCGACGCCCUUAGUGCCGAAGUUAACACAUUAAGCACUCCGCCUGGGGAGUACGACCGCAAGGUUGAAACUCAAAGGAAUUGACGGGGGCCCGCACAAGCAGUGG